UUAACCGGAUUAGAUACCCUGGUAGUCCACGCCGUAAACGAUGUCGACUUGGAGGUUGUGCCCUUGAGGCGUGGCUUCCGGAGCUAACGCGUUAAGUCGACCGCCUGGGGAGUACGGCCGCAAGGUUAAAACUCAAAUGAAUUGACGGGGGCCCGCACAAGCGGUGGAGCAUGUGGUUUAAUUCGAUGCAACGCGAAGAACCUUACCUGGUCUUGACAUCCACGGAAGUUUUCAGAGAUGGGAAUGUGCCUUCGGGAACCGUGAGACAGGUGCUGCAUGGCUGUCGUCAGCUCGUGUUGUGAAAUGUUGGGUUAAGUCCCGCAACGAGCGCAACCCUUAUCCUUUGUUGCCAGCGGUCCGGCCGGGAACUCAAAGGAGACUGCCAGUGAUAAACUGGAGGAAGGUGGGGAUGACGUA
rnacentral:rRNA from 1 species